rnacentral:rRNA from 1 species
AGCAGUCGCCGCGGGAAAACGUAGGUGGCAAGCGUUGUCCGGAAUUAUUGGGCGUAAAGGGCUCGCAGGCGGUUUCUUAAUUCUGAUGUGAAGGCCCCCGGCUCAACCGGGGAGGGUCAUUGGAAACUGGGAAACUUGAGUGCAGAAGAGGAGAGUGGAAUUCCACGUGUAGCGGUGAAAUGCGUAGAGAUGUGGAGGAACACCAGUGGCGAAGGCGACUCUCUGGUCUGUAACUGACGCUGAGGAGCGAAAGCGUGGGGAGCGAACAGGAUUAGAUACCCCAGUAGUCCCUGUCUCUUAUAC